GUGAAAAUCAGUAUGGAGAUACCUCAAGGAACUAGGACUGGAAGUCCCAUUUGACCCAGUACAGUGUUUGUUAGAGAACAACAGAGGAAUCAAGAGAAGGAGGAAGAGAAGAAGAAAAGCAGGAAGGGAGAAAAGAAAUAAUGAAGCGCUGCCACCAUGUGAGCAACUUCCCUCAGCCAAGACCCACCCUUCCUUGGAGCUCCCCACCUUAGGCUGAAAACGUGAGCCAGGCUGACCCUGAACUCCAGGGCUGAAGUGAUCCUCCUGCCUCCAGCUCCAAAGUAGCAGAAUCUCCAGUUGACCAGGGAACAGAAAGCCUUAACUACAAAUGCCCCACUUCGCUAUGGCUAAGGGGGCGCAAAAGGAAGUCUCCCCAGAAUUACAUCCUUCCGGGUCAAUGAUUC
rnacentral:lncRNA from 1 species